rnacentral:rRNA from 1 species
GACGUAGGGGGCCAGCGUUGCUCGGAAUUACUGGGCGUAAAGGGUUCGUAGGCGGUGUGGCAAGUCGGGAGUGAAAUCUCUGGGCUUAACUCAGAGGCUGCUUCCGAAACUGCCGUGCUAGAGUGCGGGAGAGGCGAGUGGAAUUGCAGGUGUAGCGGUGAAAUGCGUAGAUAUCUGCAGGAACACCCGUGGCGAAGGCGGCUCGCUGGACCGCAACUGACGCUGAGGAACGAAAGCUAGGGGAGCGAACAGG